CAUGAAGAACGCAGCGAACUGCGAUAAGUAAUGUGAAUUGCAGAAUUCAGUGAAUCAUCGAGUCUUUGAACGCACAUUGCGCCCCCUGGCAUUCCGGGGGGCAUGCCUGUCCGAGCGUCAUUGCUGCCCUUCAAGCCCGGCUUGUGUGUUGGGUCGUCGUCCCCCCCGGGGGACGGGCCCGAAAGGCAGCGGCGGCACCGCGUCCGGUCCUCGAGCGUAUGGGGCUUUGUCACCCGCUCGAUUAGGGCCGGCCGGGCGCCAGCCGGCGUCUCCAACCUUCUAUUUUACCAGGUUGACCUCGGAUCAGGUAGGGAUACCCGCUGAACUUAAGCAUAUCAAUAAGCGGAGGA
rnacentral:misc_RNA from 1 species